rnacentral:sRNA from 1 species
GAAAAAUUCACCGCGGCGAAUUCAAUCGUGAAAGGUGCUUAAUUCUUCAAAACACACACUCGCCAGUCCCAUAACACAGACUUGAUACCUGCUAUUUCAAACAUUGAUUUAAAUCAAGAACAUCACAAAGCCAAACUUCACAUCAAUUUAAAAAACGAGGAAACCAAAAGACCAAAAGCUCGAUCAAAACGACCAAAAAUAAGUGUGUACCAGCACAGGGACAUGCACGACACUGUACCUGGUGUAACUCCGUGGACAAGAUACACUGACAAACCUAAAGUCUCAGAAGAAAAUACUUGGUCAAGAGGGCAAGUUAAUGCCCAGUGUGGUUAUCAAAGUUAUUCACCCAGAACACAAAUCUGUUGUCAAGGACAAGUAUUACGAAGACAAGGUAUUCAGCCAUCUUGUUGCGGAACUCAAACCUAUGAUAAUGUCUUCAAUAAAUGUUGCAAUGGAAUAGUAUCGUUCAAGUCAGCACAAGAUCAGAAUUGCUAAUCAGAAAAAUUAAAUAAUAUUUAAUUUGAAACAAGUUGUAUUAAAACAUCUAUGUCAUUAUGUGUGUCAUUAUAAGAAAUCUGUAUCAGCCCUAGCUAGUUAUAUUAGACAUCUCUCUAAAGCCCUAGCUAAAUAUCCCAGACAUAUCCAGAGAUCCUAGGAAGUUGUUCAAGAGAUCUCCAUAGGAACAAGCUAGUUAUCCUUUCAAUCUCUAAAGCCUCAGCAGGUUCUAGAGAUCUACAGUCCAAAGCAAACCCAUCUAAAAAUGUGCGACCAGCAUUAUUUUGUUAUUAUUGAGAUUACUUUAUAUCAAUGUUUUCCUCAAGUAAUGUCUAGUCAAGGUCCAAUUAAUUAAUACAUUUUAUUUCCUCUUUGCUUUAAAUUUAAUGAAAACUUGAAUGGAUUUGUAAAAUGACAAUAAGAACCAAAGUUUCAAAGUUUUAAGUUUAUUUCAACAAAGAAACAUUUCAAUGAUUUAUGAUGAAUAAAUUUUAUUUUAUUAUUAACUGAAAUACAUCCAUAAUUACAAGUUCAUCAAAUGAAAUGUGUCACUAAAAGACAUUUUAGAGAGAAGCUGCAUUUAUAAUAAUUAACUAUCCUGACUAUUAUACUGUUUUUGUUUUCUUUGAGUAAAAAAAACAACAACAAUAAACAACUAAAAAAUACAUCAAAUGGUUGUUACCAUGAAAUAAUUCUUCACAAUCACAAAAAAAAA